AACAAAACAUGUAGACAGAUUUGUAAAAAUUUUGGUCGGUAGCAGCCAAGGAGUGCAGUAGUUGAGCAGUAGGUCCCCAGGAAGAAGGCCUAUACACUAUCACAUUAUGAAGAACUAUCUGUCAAAGGAUCAAAGUAGUGUCCGCCACUCUCGCAAACAACCAUGCCCUGAACGUAAAGCUCCUUUGCAAACUCUGGAGAAGGCGGGCUUGCUCUUCGG
rnacentral:lncRNA from 1 species